rnacentral:rRNA from 1 species
AACGAACGCUGGCGGCAGGCCUAACACAUGCAAGUCGAGCGCCCGGAUUUAUCCGGGAGCGACGCACGGGUGAGUAACGCGUGGGAACAUGCCCUGACGUACGGAACAACCUGGGGAAACCUUGGCUAAUACCGUAUACGCCCUGAGGGGGAAAGAUUUAUCGCUUUGGGAUUGGCCCGCGUUGGAUUAGCUGGUUGGUGUGGUAACGGCGCACCAAGGCGACGAUCCAUAACUGGUCUGAGAGGAUGACCAGUCACACUGGGACUGAGACACGGCCCAGACUCCUACGGGAGGCAGCAGUGGGGAAUAUUGGACAAUGGGCGAAAGCCUGAUCCAGCCAUGCCGCGUGAGUGAAGAAGGCCUUCGGGUUGUAAAGCUCUUUCAGCGGGGACGAUGAUGACGGUACCCGCAGAAGAAGCCCCGGCUAACUUCGUGCCAGCAGCCACCGCAG